UAUUUAUGUCCCAAUUCUUUUUUUGUGUUUUUUUUUUUCUUCCAUUGCUUACCGUAUUUUUAAUUUUCAAGCACUGCCUUGGUCUCUGUUUCUUUUUUAGAGAUUCCUGUUUUCAUGGGCAUAUUCCUCAAAUAUUUGUAUAUAUUAGAUAUUUUUUUCUUACGUUUUCUUCUGCUCCCUGAAAAAUCCUGUUUCCUCUAGGUGUCAAUCUGAGGCUUUCUUAAAAUGCUGCGUGAUUCUUGAUUUUUUAUUCUUAACAUUUACAACUGAGGUUUUUCACUAUUUAUCCCUGGAUCUCACUUCAGCCUUCAACUGGUGUCUCUACAUUUCUCUAGAGAUAAGAGUUCCAGUAUCCUCCAGGGAGGAUGAGUUGGGGAGAAGAUCUGAUGUACAUCUGUUGUACGGCCUUUCUGGCAAAGCCUCUCUCUUCAGCCCGUGCCUCACCACAGCCUUUAGCAGUUCCGACGUCCCUAGGUAUUUAUGAUGAAGAAUUCUUUCUAACACAAGAAUUUAGCCUCCCUGUAAGAUGAGAGUCUUUAUUCAUCGAACUUUGAGAAAAUGGUUCAUUCCUCAUACAGAGCUAACAAAGGAGAGUUCAUACUUUGAAAACACAAAAAAAAGACAAGAAAAUAAAACAAGAUUUCCAAGGUAGGGAGUCAUAGCUUUUUUGUAAAACUCAGUACAAUUUUUUAAAAUGUGUUCUUAAAUACACCUUUCUUUACAGAGCCAUUUAGUAGCGUAAAAUAUGCAGGCAAAAUAUACGUUGUACAUUUUGCACAGAGCAGACAAGCUUGGGCAAAGAAUCUUGACAUGUAUUGUUCUAUUAAGCAAAUCUCUCCAGAGAUCUAUAGAUUAUAAACUGUAAAUGUUAUUAUUCUGUGAAAACUUAGUGCCAGCAGUGAGAUGGUAUCAAACCACCGUGCAUACAAAGAGAAGGCAAAAGUGCAAUCUUGACAUCAAAGGCCAUCAGCUAAUAAUUUAAUGGACAUGGUUACAUGAUUAAAUUGUAUCCAUGUACAUGAUAUGCAAACAGAAAAAAAGAAAUGAGGCCAUGUGACGAAAUAGAGCCUUUCUUUUAAAAUUUUGCUCAAAAAUAUUGCUCUGUUUUUAUAUAUAAGAAAAAUGGGUGUAAGAGAAACUCAGAUGGGAGGACUGAAGAAUAUGGGAUGUAUUUGGGACAUUUAGGUCAUCUCUUUGGCAGAGUUACUACACUUCCAGACGUAAUGACUUCUGUAAAUUAUUGAAACUUCCAGACUUGUAGUAAUGAUUUGGUAAUAAGUCCAAAUGUAUCAGGGCAUGAGAGAACAUCAAAACAUUACACUGAGGGUUAAAUGUUAUCGUCUGGUCCAGAAAUUAUGUCAGUAAAUAACAUCUGUUGGAAAUAAUUAUCCUGCAUUUCAGGUGCAAAAUGAUGAGAUAUUCUGGGAAAGAUUAAAUACAAACUUUAUAUUUAUUUGUUGUAAGAAUUCAAUAAUAAAAGUAAAAGUAGAAUGCUACUAGAU
rnacentral:lncRNA from 1 species